rnacentral:lncRNA from 1 species
CAGAUAUGAGAAGAGUGAAUAGCAGGGGUUGGUCUGGUUGGUGACGGCCCAAAUUGUUACCAGGUAAAAACGAGUUGAAACAUUCUGCACAUAAUUUAUACUUCCAUUUUGUUUGUUCACCUCAUUGGAUUUGGUCGGUGUGCUUUGUGCUUUGAUUUGGGGUGCAGCACCUACUAGUUUCUGUUACCACUAUUUUGCGUCAACUAUCUUAGGUGCCACCUGCACAUAAUAUUCAAACACACCCUAUAAGGCUUUAUUUCCUUCUGGUAUCCGUUGUGUAUUAUCUUCGUGAUCACUGCAUAAUAAAUGUACCCUUCCAUAAGUAUUUUUUCGUCCAGAGCUAAUGAUACCUCUGUGCUUUUUGUACACGUGCUAGCUAGUGCCUUGGUCGAGUUGGGUUUUUAACUGAAAUGAAAAAUUCAGCAGAACUUGAUUCUGUUUUACCUGUGACCAAGUAUCUACUUAGAAGUUAUUCGAUGAACCUUAGAGCAAAUUGUGUGAAUUCAUAUUGUCAAAUGAAAUUCAACUUGGCCUUCAUCUGAACUAUGCUGCAUGGUGAUGGGAGGGUUGCUGGUCCGUGACAAUUUUCUUUUCUUUGUCAGAUAGUGGCGUUAGCAGAGGCCAAUGAUGGCUUAUUAAGAAACAAUCCAGUGAAGGUCAGGGCUUCAACUGCGAGUUAUUAUACAGCAUUCUCAUGGUGCGUACGAUGUGCGCUGCUUCGAUAGCUUGCGGUUUCCUCCUGUGUAGAUCGGAUUUUGUCGAUAAAGCUGAUUUUUUUUUCCUGAGCGGGUGAUCCUUGUUCUGUCAAGCGAAGCAUCUUAUUGCAUUUAAAUUUUGCAGUCGCCGUAUUUGAGAUCCGUCACUUUCUCAAGUUUUAUAAAUGUGUUUAUUACUUUUUUCGUCCCGUCGAACGCUAACAGGGAGGGUUGGUUGUUCUUGGCGGACCCGGAUCAACAAGUAGUUCAGGAAUAAGAUCGGCGAGAACUCUGACAGUAGUGAGUUCAUCACUCAACGUAGUCGACUAGUCGUCUUCUAGCAGUUCAGUUUGACUCUAUUUGAGGGACCCGCUUGCUUAUUGCAAUUCAGAAUUGUGAUAGGAAUGGUGAAGUGGUUUUUAAUGCUCUGCAGACAUGGUAAAUGGAUUCACGUUUGCUAAGCAAGCGGGUCCCUCAAUUCGGAAUCGUGGACUCAAUUGUGAAGUGGGUUUUAAUUCACUGCAAAUAAAAUCGGCAUCCAAGCACCAGUGGUCUAGUGGUAGAAUAGUACCCUGCCCCGGGUUCGAUUCCCGGCUGGUGCAUUUUCUUCAUUUUUUGUCCUUUUAUUCUUGAUGUUAAAUCCUGUGGCCCUGCUAUUUAUUAUUUCAUUUUUUUCUUUUUGCUUUACCAUUUCUGUAUUUAUCUUUCCUUCUUUAAAUUAGGUCGGGAUUUCCAAAAUAUCCAAAUCAAGAAAUUAUAAAAUUUUCGUGCUUUCAAAAAACUGUUCACAUAUUUUAAAAUAGAUAAAUGUUUUUUCUUUAAAAUAGAGAAAUUAAAAUGUUCAUGAUUUUGAAAAAGUGAUUGUGUAUUAAAAAGUAUUCGGUAAUUUGGUUUACAAAAUGUCCAUGAAAUUUUAAAUUUGUUCAUAAAAAUUAGAACAGAUCCGUAAACAAUGAAUAAAACAGACAGUCGCUUACGUAGAGGUUUAAUUAGGGGAUCUGUAGAGGUCGUUUUAUGAUUUUAUUUAGUCCCUCGUGCGUCAGGUAAGAAAAACGUUUCCAUGUUCUAUACAACGGGAGCCCCAUAAAAUAUAAACAACUUUCUAUGGGUUCGUUUUUGUAAACUAUAUUAAAAUGACUAGAUGUUUAUUUUGCCUUCAUACACAACUAUGUUUAUUCUGGUGCCAUAGUUUUUACUGUUAUGGAAACACCUCUAUGCUAGGUCAAGGCGAGACACAUCAUUCAUCAGUCUAGCUCAGGCAUGGUCCCUCAAUGCAAUUUGCGCAGCCAAAAAAUAUUUUGUUGUGACGCCUUACGAAAUCAAGACCAUCACAUUUUCAGUUUUUAAGAUGACCUUUUAAAAGUCCCUUAUCUCAUCAUAAUAUCAUUCAGACAUAGUUUGUGAAAUGAUAUUUUAACAUUCCUUAUAUCCUGACAUUUGAUUCGGACUUUUUUUUAUCUCUACCACAUCUGCAUAAUACGUUUGUUUUUCUUUCGUUGCAACACACGUGCAUAUUUGCUAGUAUACAUCAAAAGCAGAGGGAGAAGAUUAGUGAGCGCGAAAUCAAUUUUUCUUCACCACAGAUGCUAUCAUCACUUUCUGCCACCUACUCAAGGCCAUUGUGCAAGCUUGAGAAAAUUCCCCCCUGCUUUCUUUGAUGUGAUGGUGCACCUUGUUGUACAUUUACCCAAAGAGGCGUUGCUCUGAGGUCCCGUGCAAUAUAUGUACCCAAUUGAAAGGCGAUUGUAUACUUUGAAGUGCUAUGUGAGGAAUAGGGCACGACCAGAAGGGUCAAUUGCUGAGGCAUAUGUUGCUGAUGAAUGCCUGACAUUUUGUUCCAAGUACAUCAACGAUGUUGAAACAAGAUUUAACCGGGAGCCAAGAAAUAUUGGUUUUUCAGAUGAAGAAGCCUAUGCUGCUGAUGUUUUCGGGCAUGGAGUUAAUUUUACUUCAGCGUAUCAAUAUGUAUAUGUUGAAAAUUAAUCUGGUCAAAUGGUGUGGUAUGUGUUGAACAAUUGUAGUCAAGCUGAGAAGUAUAUAGAGUAUGUUCUCACUUCUGAAUAUGUGUAUGUUACAUUUGUGUUGUAAAUAUGUGAUCUAUUGAUUGAUUUUAUUUUAUCUCCAGAAUGUUCAAGGGUGAGCUAGAGAGAGAAGGACUGAGAGAAGGACUGCCAAACAUUGAAAGAAGGCCUCGGAAAGGAUUCCAGACAUGGUUUAGGAACUAUGUUAGUUUUCAUUCACAUGUAAUUAGAAUUUUUGCUUAUGAGAUUUUCACUACAGAUUCUAAUGUACAUGUUUGUGUGCGUUGUUGCAGAUAAUGACGUUGCGGAAUGAGGAUGCCAAAGAGGUUGACAAAGAUCUCUUUACCUUGGCAUGUGGUCCUGAUUCGAGAGUCAGGAAAU